CUAAGUCCCCGCAGAACUGUACUGUCGAAGAUAUCGAAGCGAAGCUCCGCCACGCCGAUCUUCGCCGCCAGCAAUGCGAUGGGAAAUUGUCAAACAAGGCUCGAGCAAAGCCCAGAAGCCCAUCACGGUCCUCAUCUAAUGAGGAAGAUCUUGGUUAGCGCCUUGAAGCGAAGCUCCAAGCUGCUGAGCAGAAGAGUAAUCCAUUAUGGGCAGCAAGUUGGUGCCGAGUUCAGUACAACAAAGUGAGCUGAGCGUGUUAACCAUGUCCAACCUCGACAUCA